rnacentral:rRNA from 1 species
UGAGCAACCUGGCUCUAAGAGGGGGACAACAGUUGGAAACGACUGCUAAUACCGCAUAACGUAUCGGGAUGGCAUCUUCCUGAUACCAAAGAUUUUAUCGCUUAGAGAUGGGCUCGCGUCUGAUUAGAUAGUUGGCGGGGUAACGGCCCACCAAGUCGACGAUCAGUAGCCGGACUGAGAGGUUGAACGGCCACAUUGGGACUGAGACACGGCCCAGACUCCUACGGGAGGCAGCAUG